rnacentral:rRNA from 1 species
UACGAAGGGGGCUAGCGUUGCUCGGAAUCACUGGGCGUAAAGCGCACGUAGGCGGAUUGCUAAGUCAGGGGUGAAAUCCUGGAGCUCAACUCCAGAACUGCCUUUGAUACUGGCGACCUUGAGUCCGGGAGAGGUGAGUGGAACUGCGAGUUUAGAGGUGAAAUUCGUAGAUAUUCGCAAGAACACCAGUGGCGAAGGCGGCUCACUGGCCCGGUACUGACGCUGAGGUGCGAAAGCGUGGGGAGCAAACAGG